CUACGGGGUGCUCCAGUAAGGAAUAUUGGACAAUGGGGGCAACCCUGAUCCAGCCAUGCCGCGUGAGUGAAGAAGGCCUUCGGGUUGUAAAGCUCUUUCAGAUGUGAAGAUAAUGACGGUAGCAUCAGAAGAAGCUCCGGCUAAAUUCGUGCCAGCAGCCGCGGUAAUACGAAUGGAGCGAGCGUUGUUCGGAAUCACUGGGCGUAAAGCGUAUGUAGGCGGUCAUGCAAGUCAGGAGUGAAAUCCCAGGGCUUAACCUUGGAACUGCUUUUGAAACUGCACGGCUAGAGUCCCGGAGGGGUUAGGAGAAUUCCGAGUGUAGAGGUGAAAUUCGCAGAUAUUCGGAGGAAUACCAGUGGCGUAGGCGCCUAACUGGACGGGAACUGACGCUGAGAUACGAAAGCGUGGGGAGCAAACAGGAUUAGAUACCCCGGUAGUC
rnacentral:rRNA from 1 species